GUCUUUUUAGGGCCAUACGUGCAGUAUAUGGAAGUUCCAUAGCUAGGCUACAGCUGCCAGCCUACACCAUAGCCACAGCAACAAGGGAUCCAAGCAACGUCUUUGAUCUACACCAUAGCUCACGGCAAUUCCAGAUCCUUAACCCACUGAGCAAGGGAGGCUAGGGAUCAAACCUGAGUCCUCACAGACACUAGUCAGAUUCGGUACUAUUGAGCCAUGACGGGAACUCCUGGAUAUGGGGUAAAGAGACUGCAACGCUGUUAGUGGGGAAUCAGCCCCCUCCUGAUCAGUGGGCACCUCGGAACCUGAAAACGAAGGAUUCUAAUGUAUUGCAAUAGCCAUAUGUUGUUAUAGCUACAAAGAGUGGGUGCUUUUGUGUGUGUAUGUGUGUGUGCGUGUGUGUGCCAUUUUAAGGCCGCACCCAUGGCAUGUGGAGGUCCCCAGGCUAAGGGUUGAAUCGGAGCUGUAGCCUCCGGCCUAUACCACAGCCACAGCCAUGUGGGAUCCAAGCCGCAUCUACGACCUACAACAUAGCACAUGGCAAUGCCAGAUCCCUAACCCACUGAGUGAGGCCAGGGAUCAAACCUGCAUCCUCAGGGAUCCUAGUAGGUUCAUUAAUCGCUGAACCAUAAUGGGAACUCUGCUUUUCCUCCACUCUUGAAACAUAACUUAGCACCUGCGUGCAGGUUCUUGCUCAGACCUGUCUGCUCCAUGCUCAUCGCCCUGAGGGUGGAAGAAAUAGAUGCUGGGUGAGAGCAGGUGUGGAGAGGAGAAGGCAGUCUUAUUGGGCCAAGGCACCUGCAGCCGUCCCCUGAUGCAGCAUGAGAUGAGUGGCCAGGUGAAAAAAGCAGACAUCCUGCCAGACAUCCUGCCAGGAGGAAGCCCCCCCCCCAUUCAAGACACCAUGUUCAGCUGAAGGAUGCUGACACCUCUGCAUGCCCCACAUGGAGGCCUGGAAAUCUGCACACAGCAGCACAUUGCUAAAUGCUCUCUGAGGGGGACUGGCUGCUUGCAGAGAUGGCGCUCAAGCCAGACUCUGCCUGCAUCCAACUUUGCAUCCGCCAGUGGACCUCUGCCUCCAGGGGCCACAGGAAGCUGCUUUUGCCAAGCUGGUUCUCCCCAGCAAGGCCAGUUUUGCCACCACUUAGCGCUGGCAGUGGUUGAAUUCCCUUCAAGUGUGUGUAAGAGAGAUAGAGGCUGAAGAGAGAGGAGAGGGAGCUAGUCUUGCUUGGGGCUGAUCUCUUUGGUUGCUUUUCUGCCAAAAAUAAACAAAAAGUCCUCUCUGUCGUCAUUGCUUCUCUGCUUAAAAUUGUCUGAUGAGGACUCCAAAAAGCCAGAGAAUUGUUGGCUGUGUCUGGAGGGUUCUACCUCUUUCUUUUAGAUUCCUUUACAGUCUGCAGAAUGGACAGCCACGAAGAAGAAGGAACCACACUCUGGCUGUGCUCGUGACCCUAUACCUGGAGGAUCUGGGGAGAAAGGGAAGUGGGUGAUGGGGCUGGGGUUCGGGCAGUGAUGGGGCGCUUCCUAGAGACAGGAAGGAAACAGCCUUGUGGGACUAAAUCACAUGCGACAGAACAAACCGUCACCCCGAAACGAGUACUCCAGUCGAGUUUGGCUGUAAACACUCAUAUUUCCUCCACUCCGCUCUUCUCUUCUCGAGCGGUCUCAUGUAUAUUUCACGGCGUGUCCUACCCACUCUCGCACUCAUACAUCAAAGGAUCUGAGGACAAGAAACCUGAUUUUGAAAACAUUAUUCUUUUAAAGAUUGAUCCUCUCAUCUUGACCACCUCCUUAGCUGGAAGGGAGAGGUUCUCCAUAAAUUAUUUUAAUGUGCUUUGCAAAAGGAACUUUCUCACCUCUCCUCCCCAAAACUUUUCCGCACGUAUAAUUAUUCAAGGCCCUUGAUUUCAUUUCUUUUUUCCAUCCAUGCACAUUGAGGCGUGUUCGGAAAGAGCACAAGAAAAGAAGUGAGCGUUAGAAAAUUUGAGAAGUUCAAUGGAAACUUUGAGGAAGCCCAGGGGUAAGGGGAUGGGUCUCUUUGGGUUGCAAGAAGGGACACUAACAGUAGUUUUUCCAAUAAAUCUCGUAGAAAUGAGUGUAAAGAUGAUGUUUAGAGGUGGUCCUUCAGUCUGGCCCACACUCUGAGAUUUCCUGGGUGUGUGGUCUGCUAAUCUCAGUGGAGCCUCGGCCCCAGGCCUCCACUUAGAAUGCUGUCUGACCAGGCACAGCAAAGCCUCUCACCCCAGACCCCACCCCAGACCCCAGGCCCCAGACCCACCCAGCCCUUGCACUCAGCACUCGUCCUCUGAACAGCCCACCCAGCUGCCUGUCCUCGGUCCCCUCACCAGGGUGUGACAGUCACCUGCUGAGCCAUCACUGGCUGGGGUCUAGAGGUUCUGUGUCCAGGUGUAGUCCAGGUCAACACCAACUGUCUCUAAAGUCUUCUCUCUUUGACCUUAAAUGGUGCCACAACUAUGACAAACAGGUUCAAGAACUUUGCCAGAACAUUUAGCCUGCAGACGCUAAAAACUAACAAAAUGGGGCUUCGCAUCUUCCUUUCUCACACCAGGUUAGUUUCCAGCUGAGGAUUUCCUUGGCAGGGUUCACGUGCAGCUCUUGGCUCAGACCGUCCCACCUCCCUUCUCUGGAUCCCUUUGUUCCCAACAAAUUGAGGUCUCCUGACCGCUGGUAUGUAUCUGGUGUCCCUCAAAACAGGGCUGACUGCAGCCUGAUCCCUGGAGGCAGCACCCCCUCCCUCGUGCCCAUUUCAGCUCCACUCGCCUGGCCCGGUUCUCAGUUGGGGCUAUUCUGGGCAACCGCCCCAUUGGCACAGGUUCUGAGAACGGUACCAGACUGUAUUCCAUCCAUCGCAGGGUCUCUGUUAGCAGACUUCCUCUGCUCCUACCACCAGUGCCUGCAGCCCGAGAGCUCGCGGGCUCCCCCGUGUGGCUGCUCCCAGGUGCCCAGCAGACCUGCUGCGUAGCGACAGCCGCACCACCGUUGCCGCUGCCUAAUGCCGUCACUGCGCUGGACCUGUCUGGCCUUUCAGGGAUCAUGCUGUCCUCCUGUUGUAUUUGAGUCACUCACUCAACUCCUGCUGUGAGGUCUGUUCACCUAGAGACCAGCCAGGCCAGGGAGCAGGUCCAUCCUUCCAGCCCCUCCCCGGCCGCUCUGUCUAUAAUAAGAGCAAGCAGAGCAGGAGGGCUCUGAGCCAGGACGGAUGGUUCAUGCCACACAAAGGGACAGAGAAGCAAGCAAAUGGUGAGUCCUCUGGGGCCCAAGCCACCCGCCAGGGGCUCUUUCCAGCUCUCGUGUCUCCUUUGUCAAGCCCAACAGGCGAGACAGGCUCCUGUGGUGUCAAAAAGAGGGAAAAGCACACCGUACUCUUGUAAAAGGUCUUUAGAGCAUAUUCUACCGGCCCUGCGAGAUUUUCCGUGCUGCUCAAGCUGCCCCCACCGUGAAGCGUGUCUGCAUUAGCACUCGUUUUAAUAGGAUUUGAAUGAUGACUUUGGGCCCUAUUUAUAUGCUGGAAGGUUUCCAUCAGCCUCAUGCUCAAAAAAGGUCAUUUACAGAGCAGUUUGUGAUCAUUAAUACAAGACAGAUCUUCAAAGCAGCUUCGGAAUUGAAACAAUUUUCCUGAAUGUUUUUGUCAAACUGGUAACUGUGAACAGGAUUUGAUCACUUGAACGUGUCAGUUGUAGAUGAGCUGGGAAAGAAUUGCUUUCAAAUCUUAAAAAACAACAGCAACAACAAAAACAACAACAACACACCAAACAAACCCAAACCUGUUUCUUCAAAGCCCCUCAUAUUUGGGCCUCUUGCAGGGAGGGGGCCUGAGGCAAAGGGAAGAAGUGGCCCUGAUUCAAAGGCCGGGGGGGAGGACAGGGUAGGGGUCAGUCAGCCCUGGAGAGAGCUGAGUGGUUCAGGGCAGGGACAGGGAAGCAGGGACUUAGGAAGCGCAAGUCUGCAGGUGCGGAGCCUGUGCAGAGACCGUCCCAGCUCAUCGGUGGAGUGCUGUCGCCACCAGGUGGGCAGUUGUAGGCACUGCAUCUGGCCCCACAGGCUGCGGGGCUGAGGCCCCAGUGCAGGUGACCAUCCAGGGGGACGAGAAGCCAGUGCUGUUAGCUGAGCAGCGGGUGGGCCGGCUGGCCCCCUCAGAAGGGCGGAGACCCCUUUGUCUUGUGCUCUGUGACAGGAACAGAGUGCAGGCCCAAUGGGGAGAAGGAGCAGCAGGCUGGAUCCAAGCAGGGCCUGUCUCUGGGAGUCCCUGUGGCCAUCAGACCCCCCCUCCCCAUUCCAGUGGGCCGUGGAGGAAAAUGCAUUGUUAGUUGGGGAACUGGCCCGGCUGCUGAGAGUGGGGUACCAGGGCUCGGGGAUGUGUCACUGCAGCUGAAGAAGGGCCUCCCUGGUCACAGACCCCAUGAGGGCAGGGCUGUGGUCUUAUUAGCCUCUGUGACCACACUGCCUGAUGUGGGGUAGGUAGUGGGUGUAAGAAAGCUUUUAAUUGUCUCCUCUAAAAGCAUAAUUGGAAGCCUGCUAUGUGCUGCAAACACAAUAUUUAACAGACCCAGAUCUCCACGUGGCACCUGUUUUCCAUGCCCCAGGCAGAUGAUCACCAAGAUCCCACCUAACACAUGUGAUACAUCCAAGAGUGACAGGAAUGAGACAAAUUAAACAGGGAGGGAAAGGGGAGCGGCCAGCGGCCAGAGGUGGGGAGGUGUGAUGGGCACACCCGGGGGCACCCCUGGGAAGGGGCAGGAUGCGUAGGAGUGGCGCAGGUGUGAGGUCCUCUGGGCAGCGGGAUCCCUGCUGUGGAAGAAGUGAUCCUUGAGCUGAUCCCUGGGCUGGGCAGCUUCAUGGGGGCUACAGAUGCUGGACAAACCGGGAAGUGCCCUUCUAGACAGCGUACAUACGCAACGCCCUGAGUUAACGAGUCAGACAGACAGACAGAGAAGCAGCAUUUUUGUGUGUGUGUGUGUGUGUUUUAGGGCUGUACCUGUGGCAUACGGAGGUAUAUGGAGGCUAGGGAUCAAAUCGGAGCUACAGCUGCCCGCCUACGCUACAGCCACAGCAAUGUUGGAUCCGAGCCGCGUCUUCGACCUACACCAGAGCUCACAGCAACGCUGGAUCCUUAACCCACUGAGUGAGGCCAGGGAUCCAACCUGCUACUCAUGGUUCCUAGUCAGAUUUGUUUCCACUGCACCGCGACGGGAACGCCAAAGCAACAUUAAAACGGGGCUGUGAUUAGUUGCCUGUGUCUAGGGCAGGGGGGUGCAGGCGGUCAUGGACCUGCCAUCCAGCCAGACUUCCUUCCCUAGAUGGGCCAUAUCCAUGGCUCGCACACAGUUCCGAGUGCCCCUCCGAGUGGAAAUGCGUCGCUGUGUGGACGUACUUCAUUUCCCUGUGUAGGGAACUGUGUUGUGGUUCUUUCUCAGCACAGCAUCAAAGGUCUCUAAGGGGCAGCCAGGAGGCACCUCACCAUGGGCCCUGGGGCCCUGGGGCCCUGACAGCCUGGCUUUUAUCUGUCAUCUCUCCUGACAGGGAGCUGGACCACAAAGGCCGCCCACCAGCCUCUCGCCGGCCAUCCCCUCCCUGUGAACAAGGAGCUGUGAGUUGACUCACAGGGACAGGCGUGGACGACUGCUGAAGCCCAGAUGCUGCCUUGGUCGCUUGGGCUGGGAUGCCCAGAAUCUCAGGCAGGCUGAGCCCCUACCCUGCUGCUGGUGCCCACAGUUGUGCCCUUGGCUCAGAGCAUCUUUCACCUAAACUCGUCACGCCUCAAAUCCCAGACGAGACUGAGUCCUUAGUGAUAAGGCCCCAGCAGAGUCCACACUGACAGCUCGAUGCGCAUCUUCUCCUUUCUCUCUCCCCACAUAGAGUGAGUGCUGCUCCAGGAGAAGGUCCCUCUAGUUACUCCUCACCCCCCGGGCAGGAAAAGCCAUCCCCUCUGGGCAUAAGGGACAGAGAGGGACCAUAUACUGUCCCCUCAUCCCUCAGGUGCUGGAGAAGAGCUGUCUCUCUCCACCAGCAGCUCUCUCUCCACCACUGCCCGCUGAGGGGGGCUGGCCCGCAGGUGCAUGAGAAACUCACCCUCACCGUGAGUGCGUGUGGCCCUUACCCUGGACAGGAGACCAGUCCGACAUCCAGUGACCACACUGGGGCUUUAAACCACAGCCACCUCCCAAGCAGUAGAACUGUUUUUCAAACACGCAAAAUAACAGCCUAUCAGCGCUGAAAAGAGCCUUAAAACACACCAGUUCCAGUCCCACCCCAGCCUUUUACAGAAGAAGUCCCGGGCCCAGAGAGUCUGAGGCUUGAUUGAGGUUCUUAUUAGUUCAAGGAACCAACUCAGCCUGCUUUGAGUCUUGCAACGUUUUCCCCACAACAGGAU
rnacentral:lncRNA from 1 species